rnacentral:rRNA from 1 species
UGGGGAAUAUUGCACAAUGGGCGCAAGCCUGAUGCAGCCAUGCCGCGUGUAUGAAGAAGGCCUUCGGGUUGUAAAGUACUUUCAGUCGGGAGGAAGGUGUCAAGGUUAAUAACCUUGGCAAUUGACGUGACCGACAGAAGAAGCACCGGCUAACUCCGUGCCAGCAGCCGCGGUAAUACGGAGGGUGCAAGCGUUAAUCGGAAUUACUGGGCGUAAAGCGCACGCAGGCGGUUGAUUGAGUCAGAUGUGAAAUCCCCGGGCUUAACCCGGGAAUUGCAUCUGAUACUGGUCAGCUAGAGUCUUGUAGAGGGGGGUAGAAUUCCAUGUGUAGCGGUGAAAUGCGUAGAGAUGUGGAGGAAUACCGGUGGCGAAGGCGGCCCCCUGGACAAAGACUGACGCUCAGGUGCGAAAGCGUGGGGAGCAAACAGG